rnacentral:misc_RNA from 1 species
AAGAAUCGCCCCGUUUUUUUGAAAUGGGGUUCUAUUCCCAAACCGUGUCUAUAUACCUUUGUUGCUUUGGCAGGCCGCCACUUAGGCGUUGGCUCCGGCUGGCUGCGCCUGCCAGAGGACCCAAACUCGUUUGUUAGUGAUGUCUGAGUACUAUAUAAUAGUUA